rnacentral:lncRNA from 1 species
GAGUGGACAGCGGUUAAAAAUGCCCUCGAGGAGCUGAGUCACUCACAAGCUGCUGGCACAAGGAAAGGUGGUCAAGGUGGUAUCACAGGCCACAAAAAUAAUGGAAUCAUAAAUUGAUUUCACAUCUCUGAAAGAAUGAAUUUCUCUCCUUUUAUCCAGCUGAUGAGUUCAUCCUCAAAGCUGGCCUUCCACCCGAGUCUGAAACCAGCCUGGCUCUGAACUUGUCUCACACUCACUCUCUCCUUCCCUUGCUGGGCUCGGAGAAACCUUUGUCCCUCGUGGGAAAGACUGGUGUGGUUUUGCUGAGCUUUUUAUGUUGUGCUAAAUUCUUUUCUGGGGAAAGGGGGGAAGGGGAAAAUCUCCUUCCUUCCUAUUUUUUUGUUACCAAUAGCAAAAGUUGAUCUACCUUUGUUCUCCACCUGCCAUGUGUCCUCCUGCCCUUUUCCUUUACCUGUCCCUGGAGACCAUUGUUGGCCACCGGCCAAACCCCCAAUCCUUUGUUGGUGGUGUGUUUCCAAGAGCCUGGACUAAGCAGAACAAACACUGUUGGUAGUUAACGGCUUAGUCUUUAGUCAUUAAUUGCUGUGGCUAUUGUGCCAUUCUGUAAAACAGCCAGAGAGGUGCUUGUUCAUGACCGAUGCAUUGUUAAACAGAUGAGUGUUUUCCUUCUGUUUCCCUUUGCAAAAUGCCAUUCUUAUAUGUGUAAUACAAGCAUUGAAGUACACUUAUAGCUUUAAAAUAUUGAUUUUUUUGGGGGAAAAAUACAGUUUUCAUUGACCCCCAGGAGAAAAAAAAAAGGAUUUCAUAUAAGCGAAGCUCAUGAGAACUGUCUGUUUUAUAGAUUUCUGUGAACAUAUUUAGUGUUGUUUUACACAGUGUUUUAACAAGCUUGGAAUUAAAGGAAAGCAUUGACUCUGUCUACAAAGGAGAGAAAGAGAUUAAGAGCUGAACACUGAAUUUUCAAGAAUUACUAAAUCACUGCUUGGGGAGGUCUGGGACACACAACUCAAGAAACACUUUUUGAAGGGCAUGAUUUCAACUCACUUUGUCAAACUGAGUCAGUGUUCAGGAUGGGAAUGGCUUAAGUCUGGCUUAAAAGUGGGCUGAUACAGUGAGAAAGGAAUACCCUGAGCAACAGAGAAGUGUGCUGUAUUUCACAUUGUGCCAGUGCUGCUGCAGAUUUUUGCUGAGAACUGAAACUCCAACCAGUUCUUUUUCUUGUGGGGUGUAAGGUUUAUGCUUUUGCAGGCUUUGCACUGUCCUAACUACAUAAAAUAAAAUCUGGUGCAGAUCCA